UGGGGAAUCUUCCGCAAUGGACGAAAGUCUGACGGAGCAACGCCGCGUGAGUGAAGAAGGUUUUCGGAUCGUAAAACUCUGUCUUUUGGGGCGAACGUGAGUAUGGUGAACAAUCAUAGUCAGUGACGGUACCAAAGGAGGAAGCCACGGCUAACUACGUGCCAGCAGCCGCGGUAAUACGUAGGUGGCAAGCGUUGUCCGGAAUUAUUGGGCGUAAAGAGCGCGUAGGCGGGACAGUCAGUCUGUUGUAAAAGUGCGGGGCUCAACCCCGUGAUCGCAAUGGAAACAGCUAUUCUUGAGUGCAGGAGAGGAAAGUGGAAUUCCCAGUGUAGCGGUGAAAUGCGUAGAUAUUGGGAGGAACACCAGUGGCGAAGGCGACUUUCUGGACUGUGUCUGACGCUGAGGCGCGAAAGCCAGGGGAGCGAACGGGAUUAGAUACCCCGGUAGUCCUGGCCGUAAACGAUGGGUACUAGGUGUGGGAGGUAUCGACCCCUUCCGUGCCGGAGUUAACGCAAUAAGUACCCCGCCUGGGGAGUACGGUCGCAAGACUGAAACUCAAAGGAAUUGACGGGGUCAUAGCUGUUUCCUG
rnacentral:rRNA from 1 species